UACGGGGGGGGCAAGCGUUGUUCGGAAUUACUGGGCGUAAAGGGCUCGUAGGCGGCCAACUAAGCCAGACGUGAAAUCCCUCGGCUUAACCGGGGAACUGCGUCUGAUACUGGAUGGCUUGAAUCCGGGAGAGGGAUGCGGAAUUCCAGGUGUAGCGGGGAAAUGCGCAGAUAUCAGGAGGAACACCGGUGGCGGAGGCGGGUCUCUGGGCAACAACUGACGCUGAGGAGCGAAAGCGUGGGGAGCGAACGGG
rnacentral:rRNA from 1 species